rnacentral:rRNA from 1 species
GGUUAAGCGACUAAGCGUACACGGUGGAUGCCCUGGCAGUCAGAGGCGAUGAAGGACGUGCUAAUCUGCGAUAAGCGUCGGUAAGGUGAUAUGAACCGUUAUAACCGGCGAUUUCCGAAUGGGGAAACCCAGUGUGAUUCGUCACACUAUCAUUAACUGAAUCCAUAGGUUAAUGAGGCGAACCGGGGGAACUGAAACAUCUAAGUACCCCGAGGAAAAGAAAUCAACCGAGAUUCCCCCAGUAGCGGCGAGCGAACGGGGAGCAGCCCAGAGCCUGAAUCAGUGUGUGUGUUAGUGGAAGCGUCUGGAAAGGCGCGCGAUACAGGGUGACAGCCCCGUACACAAAAAUGCACAUACUGUGAGCUCGAUGAGUAGGGCGGGACACGUGGUAUCCUGUCUGAAUAUGGGGGGACCAUCCUCCAAGGCUAAAUACUCCUGACUGACCGAUAGUGAACCAGUACCGUGAGGGAAAGGCGAAAAGAACCCCGGCGAGGGGAGUGAAAAAGAACCUGAAACCGUGUACGUACAAGCAGUGGGAGCACAGAGCAAUCUGUGUGACUGCGUACCUUUUGUAUAAUGGGUCAGCGACUUAUAUUCUGUAGCAAGGUUAACCGAAUAGGGGAGCCGAAGGGAAACCGAGUCUUAACUGGGCGUUAAGUUGCAGGGUAUAGACCCGAAACCCGGUGAUCUAGCCAUGGGCAGGUUGAAGGUUGGGUAACACUAACUGGAGGACCGAACCGACUAAUGUUGAAAAAUUAGCGGAUGACUUGUGGCUGGGGGUGAAAGGCCAAUCAAACCGGGAGAUAGCUGGUUCUCCCCGAAAGCUAUUUAGGUAGCGCCUCGUGAAUUCAUCUCCGGGGGUAGAGCACUGUUUCGGCAAGGGGGUCAUCCCGACUUACCAACCCGAUGCAAACUGCGAAUACCGGAGAAUGUUAUCACGGGAGACACACGGCGGGUGCUAACGUCCGUCGUGAAGAGGGAAACAACCCAGACCGCCAGCUAAGGUCCCAAAGUCAUGGUUAAGUGGGAAACGAUGUGGGAAGGCCCAGACAGCCAGGAUGUUGGCUUAGAAGCAGCCAUCAUUUAAAGAAAGCGUAAUAGCUCACUGGUCGAGUCGGCCUGCGCGGAAGAUGUAACGGGGCUAAACCAUGCACCGAAGCUGCGGCAGCGACGCUUAUGCGUUGUUGGGUAGGGGAGCGUUCUGUAAGCCUGCGAAGGUGUGCUGUGAGGCAUGCUGGAGGUAUCAGAAGUGCGAAUGCUGACAUAAGUAACGAUAAAGCGGGUGAAAAGCCCGCUCGCCGGAAGACCAAGGGUUCCUGUCCAACGUUAAUCGGGGCAGGGUGAGUCGACCCCUAAGGCGAGGCCGAAAGGCGUAGUCGAUGGGAAACAGGUUAAUAUUCCUGUACUUGGUGUUACUGCGAAGGGGGGACGGAGAAGGCUAUGUUGGCCGGGCGACGGUUGUCCCGGUUUAAGCGUGUAGGCUGGUUUUCCAGGCAAAUCCGGAAAAUCAAGGCUGAGGCGUGAUGACGAGGCACUACGGUGCUGAAGCAACAAAUGCCCUGCUUCCAGGAAAAGCCUCUAAGCAUCAGGUAACAUCAAAUCGUACCCCAAACCGACACAGGUGGUCAGGUAGAGAAUACCAAGGCGCUUGAGAGAACUCGGGUGAAGGAACUAGGCAAAAUGGUGCCGUAACUUCGGGAGAAGGCACGCUGAUAUGUAGGUGAAGUCCCUCGCGGAUGGAGCUGAAAUCAGUCGAAGAUACCAGCUGGCUGCAACUGUUUAUUAAAAACACAGCACUGUGCAAACACGAAAGUGGACGUAUACGGUGUGACGCCUGCCCGGUGC